AAGUCGUAACAAGGUUUCCGUAGGUGAACCUGCGGAAGGAUCAUUAACGAAUUAUAAUGCUGGGGUUGUAGCUGGCCUUUCAAUCGAGAGGUAUUGUGCACACCCUGGUUAUUCCAAAUUCAUAUACCUCUGUGCACUUUACAUAGAAUGACUUAUUUAGUUGGGUGAACGGGUCGACUCGUUAACUCGGGUUGACUUCAGUAGUUUCGACUCGAUAGUCUUCUGUGGUUCAUACAUUUAUACCAGUCAGUUUAGAAUGUAAUACCGCGUUUAACGCAAACUAUAUAAAUACAACUUUCAGCAACGGAUCUCUUGGCUCUC
rnacentral:misc_RNA from 1 species